rnacentral:rRNA from 1 species
AUUGAACGCUGGCGGCAUGCUUUACACAUGCAAGUCGAACGGCAGCACGGGGGCAACCCUGGUGGCGAGUGGCGAACGGGUGAGUAAUGCAUCGGAACGUGUCCUUAAGUGGGGGAUAACGCAUCGAAAGAUGCGCUAAUACCGCAUAAUCUCCGAGGAGCAAAGCAGGGGAUCGCAAGACCUUGCGCUUUUGGAGCGGCCGAUGUCUGAUUAGCUAGUUGGUGGGGUAAUGGCUUACCAAGGCUUCGAUCAGUAGCUGGUCUGAGAGGACGACCAGCCACACUGGGGCUGAGACAAGGCCCAGACUCCUACGGGAGGCAGCAGUGGGGAAUUUUGGACAAUGGGGGAAACCCUGAUCCAGCCAUGCCGCGUGAGUGAAGAAGGCCUUCGGGUUGUAAAGCUCUUUCAGCCGGAACGAAAUGGUCACGGCUAAUACCCGUGACAAAUGACGGUACCGGAAGAAGAAGCACCGGCUAACUACGUGCCAGCCGCCGCGGUAACAC